GAUUAACGCUGGCGGCGUGCCCAACACAUGCAAGUCGAACGAGGUAGCAAUACCUAGUGGCAGACGGGUGAGUAACGCGUGGUCAACCUACCGUUGAGUGGGGGAUAACUAGCCGAAAGGUUAGCUAAUACCGCAUACGAGUCUCGGGGGCAUCCCUGGGCCUUAAAAGGAGCAAUCCGCUCGAUGACGGGACCGCGUCCCAUUAGCUAGAUGGUGGGGUAAUGGCCUACCAUGGCUCCGAUGGGUAGCUGGUUUGAGAGAGCGACCAGCCACACUGGGACUGAGAAACGGCCCAGACUCCUACGGGAGGCAGCAGUGAGGAAUUUUCCGCAAUGGGCGAAAGCCUGACGGAGCGACGCCGCGUGUGGGAAGAAGGCCUUCGGGUCGUAAACCACUGUCGAAGGGGACGAUAAUGACGGUACCCUUGGAGGAAGCCCCGGCUAACUACGUGCCAGCAGCCGCGGUAAGACGUAGGGGGCGAGCGUUAUUCGGAAUUAUUGGGCGUAAAGCGCUCGUAGGCGGGAUCGAUAGUCCGUGAAGAAAGACCUGGGCUCAACUCAGGGAACGGCACGGAUACUUCGA
rnacentral:rRNA from 1 species